rnacentral:rRNA from 1 species
GAUGAACGCUGGCGGCGUGCCUAAUACAUGCAAGUCGAGCGAACAGACGAGGAGCUUGCUCCUCUGACGUUAGCGGCGGACGGGUGAGUAACACGUGGAUAACCUACCUAUAAGACUGGGAUAACUUCGGGAAACCGGAGCUAAUACCGGAUAAUAUAUUGAACCGCAUGGUUCAAUAGUGAAAGACGGUUUUGCUGUCACUUAUAGAUGGAUCUGCGCCGCAUUAGCUAGUUGGUAAGGUAACGGCUUACAAAGGCAACGAUGCGUAGCCGACCUGAGAGAGUGAUCGGCCACACUGGAAGUGAGACACGGACCAGGCUCCUACGGGAGGCAGCAGUAGGGAAUCGUCCGCAAUGGGCGAAAGCUUGACGGAGCAACGCCGCGUGAGUGGUGAAGGUCUUCGGAUCGUAAAGCUCUGUUAUUGGGGAAGAACAAAUGUGGAAGGAGCUAUACAGGUCUUGACGGUACCGAAUCAGGAAGCCACGGCUAACUACGUG